rnacentral:rRNA from 1 species
AAAUUGAAGAGUUUGAUCAUGGCUCAGAUUGAACGCUGGCGGCAGGCCUAACACAUGCAAGUCGAGCGGUAGCACAGAGAGCUUGCUCUCGGGUGACGAGCGGCGGACGGGUGAGUAAUGUCUGGGAAACUGCCUGAUGGAGGGGGAUAACUACUGGAAACGGUAGCUAAUACCGCAUAAUGUCGCAAGACCAAAGUGGGGGACCUUCGGGCCUCAUGCCAUCAGAUGUGCCCAGAUGGGAUUAGCUAGUAGGUGGGGUAAUGGCUCACCUAGGCGACGAUCCCUAGCUGGUCUGAGAGGAUGACCAGCCACACUGGAACUGAGACACGGUCCAGACUCCUACGGGAGGCAGCAGUGGGGAAUAUUGCACAAUGGGCGCAAGCCUGAUGCAGCCAUGCCGCGUGUGUGAAGAAGGCCUUCGGGUUGUAAAGCACUUUCAGCGGGGAGGAAGGCGAUAAGGUUAAUAACCUUGUUGAUUGACGUUACCCGCAGAAGAAGCACCGGCUAACUCCGUGCCAGCAGCCGCGGUAAUACGGAGGGUGCAAGCGUUAAUCGGAAUUACUGGGCGUAAAGCGCACGCAGGCGGUCUGUCAAGUCGGAUGUGAAAUCCCCGGGCUCAACCUGGGAACUGCAUUCGAAACUGGCAGGCUAGAGUCUUGUAGAGGGGGGUAGAAUUCCAGGUGUAGCGGUGAAAUGCGUAGAGAUCUGGAGGAAUACCGGUGGCGAAGGCGGCCCCCUGGACAAAGACUGACGCUCAGGUGCGAAAGCGUGGGGAGCAAACAGGAUUAGAUACCCUGGUAGUCCACGCCGUAAACGAUGUCGAUUUGGAGGUUGUGCCCUUGAGGCGUGGCUUCCGGAGCUAACGCGUUAAAUCGACCGCCUGGGGAGUACGGCCGCAAGGUUAAAACUCAAAUGAAUUGACGGGGGCCCGCACAAGCGGUGGAGCAUGUGGUUUAAUUCGAUGCAACGCGAAGAACCUUACCUGGUCUUGACAUCCACAGAACUUAGCAGAGAUGCUUUGGUGCCUUCGGGAACUGUGAGACAGGUGCUGCAUGGCUGUCGUCAGCUCGUGUUGUGAAAUGUUGGGUUAAGUCCCGCAACGAGCGCAACCCUUAUCCUUUGUUGCCAGCGGUUAGGCCGGGAACUCAAAGGAGACUGCCAGUGAUAAACUGGAGGAAGGUGGGGAUGACGUCAAGUCAUCAUGGCCCUUACGACCAGGGCUACACACGUGCUACAAUGGCAUAUACAAAGAGAAGCGACCUCGCGAGAGCAAGCGGACCUCAUAAAGUAUGUCGUAGUCCGGAUUGGAGUCUGCAACUCGACUCCAUGAAGUCGGAAUCGCUAGUAAUCGUAGAUCAGAAUGCUACGGUGAAUACGUUCCCGGGCCUUGUACACACCGCCCGUCACACCAUGGGAGUGGGUUGCAAAAGAAGUAGGUAGCUUAACCUUCGGGAGGGCGCUUACCACUUUGUGAUUCAUGACUGGGGUGAAGUCGUAACAAGGUAACCGUAGGGGAACCUGCGGUUGGAUCACCUCCUUACCUUAAAGAA